rnacentral:rRNA from 1 species
GACGAACGCUGGCGGCGGGCUUAACACAUGCAAGUCGAACGGAAAGGCCCUGCUUUGGGGGGGUGCUGGAGGGGCGAACGGGUGAGUAACAGGGGAGUAACCUGCCCUGGACUUUGGGAUAACUUCAGGAAACUGGGGCUAAUACCGGAUAGGAGCUCCUGCGGCAGGGUGGGGGUGGGAAAGUUUCGGCGGUUGGGGAUGGACUCGCGGCUUAUCAGCUUGUGGGUGGGGUAGUGGCUUACCAAGGCUUUGACGGGUAGCCGGCCUGAGAGGGUGACCGGCCACAUUGGGACUGAGAUACGGCCCAGACUCCUACGGGAGGCAGCAGUGGGGAAUAUUGCACAAUGGGCGGAAGCCUGAUGCAGCAACGCCGCGUGCGGGAUGACGGCCUUCGGGUUGUAAACCGCUUUCGCCUGUGACGAAGCGUGAGUGACGGUAAUGGGUAAAGAAGCACCGGCUAACUACGUG